CUGAUUCCUUUUGGCUCCCAGUCCAAAAUGGCAAGUCUCAAGCAUCAGCUGAUUCAUAAUCUUCUAAGGGAAGAACAGAUCCCCCAGAACAAGAUUACAGUUGUUGAGGUUGGUGCUGUUGGAAUGUCCUGUGCCAUCAGUAUCUUAAUGAAGGACUUGGCAGACAAACUUGCUCUUGUUGGUGUCAUGGAAGACAAAUUGAAGGAAGAGAUGAUAGAUCUCCAACAUGACAGCCUUUUCCUUAGAACACCAAAGAUUGUCUCUGGGAAAGACUAUAAUGUAACUGCAAACUCUAAGCUGGUUAUUAUCAUGGCUGGGACACAUCAACAAGAGGGAGAAAGCCAUCUUAAUUUGGUCCAGUGUAACGUGAACAUCUUUAAUUUCAUCAUUCCUAACGUUGUAAAAUACAGCUCAAACUGCAAGUUGCUUAUUGUUUCAAAUCCAGUGAAUAUCUUGACCUAGGUGGCUUGGAAGAUAAGUGUCUUUCCCAAAAACCAUAUUAUUGGAAGUGGUUGCAAUCUAGAUUCAGCCCAGAGUUCACCCAUUAAGCUGUCAUGGGUGGGUCCUCAGGGAACAUGGAGAUUCCAGUGUGCCUAUAUGGAGUGCAGUGAAUGUUGCUGGUAUCUCCUGAAGACUCUAUAUCCAGAUUUAGGGACACACACAGAUAAGGAACAGUGGAAAGCAGUUCACAAGCAGAUGGUUCAAAGUGCUUACAAGGUGAUCAAACUUAAAGAUUACACAUCUGGGGCCACUAUACUCUCUGUGGCAAUUUGGCAGAGAGUAUAAUGAAGAAUCUUAGGCAGAUGCACCCAAUUUCCACCAUGAUUAGGAGUCUGUAUGGAAUAAAGUAUGAUGUGUUCCUUAGUGUUCCUUGCAUUUUGGGACAGAAUGGAAUCUCACACCUUGUGAAGGUGACUCUGACUCCUGAGGAAGAGGCCCGUUUGAAGAAGAGUGCCAAUACACUUUGGGAGAUCCAAAAAGAGCUGCAAUUUUAAAGUCUUCUGAUGUCAUACCAUUUUACUGUCAAGGCUACAACAGGAUUUUAGCUGGAGGUUGUGCGUGUUGUCCUUUUUAUCUGAUCUGUGAUGAAAGCAAUCAUAUUUUAUGAUGGACUGGGAAAAACAUCAAUUCCUGAAGUUAAAAAUAGGAAUGGUUUGUAAAAUCCUACAGCUACAUCCUGAAGCUGGAUGGUACUAAUCUUGUGUAGUCCUAAACUGGUUAUCUCUGAGGCACCAUUGACAAUGCUGCAUAUGCUGCAGUUGCCCCUUGAGCCAGAUGGAUGUUUACUGUGUGUUAUAUAACUUCCUGGCUCCUUCACUGAACAUACCUAGUCCAAUAUUUUUUCCCAGUCAGUCACAUCCUAGGAUCUAGUGUAUAAAUCCAGUAUUGCAUGUCUUCUGCAUAAUUGUUCCAAAGGAUCUUGUUUUGUGAACUAUAUGUAUCAGUAGUGUACAUUACCAUAUAAUGUAAAAAGAUCUACAUAUAAACAAUGCAACCAACUAUCCAAGUGCUACACCAACUAAACCCCCCAAUAAACCUUGAAGAGUGAAAAAAAA